GUCACCCUUUGUACGCCUAGCACAGCAGUGUUUAUCAACUGAAUCUAAACAUUCUGAUAUGCUAGUAUUCUAGUAUCCAGCACUGGCAUAUCCUUAUAGCAGUGCACUGUCGAAGACUAAAGUUUUAGACUAUCAGUUAUACACAUGACUGAGAUAAACAAAAUGUUUAUUCUCUUAGUAAGCUAGUCAGCCUUACUGAGCUAAAAGCAAGAAAUAUGAUUCCCGUCUUAUGCCAGGUAUAGACAAAGGAGCCGCUCCAUUCAGGAGGUAAAAAAUUAAUCUAGUCUCUGAUCAUAGGCUUUGAGAGCCUCGGUGCCAGAGUUCGAGUCCAUGGGCUUUGUCACUGGUGAACUCUGAAGACAGGGUAAAAUAAGAGUUCAAGGGUAGUAACUGGACUCGAGAGCUUUGUCCGAUAAUUCUAAUGAGGAUUAAGCAUGACUGACAAAAUGUACCCCACCCAGGGCUUGAGACCAGAUUGCUUGAUUUGAAGUCCAAGGCCCUAAGCAUAAGGCCAUUUUGGUUUUCACUACUACUGAUGUACCAGCAUGUUGAUUAUUAAUGUUUUUGUAGGGUGAUGGCACUAGGGAGGGGACAGGAAAAUGUUCGUGUGACAGUGGAUAUGAAGGAGACUUGUGCGACGAGUGUGCUGAGUUGUACUUUGAAGAGCAAGAUGAAAAUUCUAAAACCAAAUGUACAGCUUGUCACAAGUCUUGUGCUGAUGGCUGCAGUGGCGGCUCUCAGAAAGAUUGCGAAAAGUGCAAAGCAGGCUGGGAAAUGACAGAUGAGGAUGGCUGUAAAGACAAGAAUGAAUGUGAUGAAGAAGACACAUGUGAAGCUGGACAAUAUUGUGUAAAUAACCCAGGGUCUUAUGUUUGCGAAGGUAAAUCUCCUAUCACCUGAUAAUGAAUUUUAUGCCCCAGUUCAAGUGGCUGUAACAAGAAACAAGGAAAUGAUGUACAAAUUAAUAAUGUGUAAAGUUGUGUAUGUUCACGGUACAAGUAGAAUAAUCUGAUAACAUGAAUGCACGAAUGUUGACUUACGGGUGUACUGUAUCUUCAAGCCUAAGUUAGCAAAUCUGUUGUUGCCUAACCCAAAUGUCAAAUUGGUGUGAAAAACAGACAGCAAAACAGUUGCUGGCAACAAGAAGUGAAACUAGACACAACGAUGCAUGUUAUUCAGAGUACUUUAGUCCAAAAUUGUUACUUAAACAG